AUUCUCUCCACAUAGUUCUCAAACCCCUAAAAACUCCUCUCUAGGGUUUCCUUCUUACCGAUCUCCCUACAGCUCCACUUUCAAGAGCACCCAGUAACAUCACAAUCUUACUCACUUCGAUCCGGGUUGACUCAUUUCCAUGGCGGAAGAUUCAGUUCCAGUUCCAGUUCCAGUUCCAUCAUCCACCAAUACAGCGCCGUUGGGUCACUCAGUGAUUCCUAUAGUGAACAAGCUCCAAGACAUCUUUGCACAGCUCGGAAGUCAGUCCACGAUUGAGCUGCCUCAGGUAGCUGUCGUCGGUAGUCAGAGUAGUGGAAAAUCCAGCGUUCUGGAAGCCCUUGUCGGUCGCGAUUUCUUGCCUAGGGGCGUGGAG
rnacentral:misc_RNA from 1 species